rnacentral:tRNA from 1 species
ACGGGUGUAGCUUAGCGGUAGAGCGACCGGUUGUUUACCGGAAGACUGCAGGUUCGAGUCCUGCCACCCGUGCCA